GACGAACGCUGGCGGCGUGCUUAACACAUGCAAGUCGAACGGAAAGGCCCUGCUUUUGUGGGGUGCUCGAGUGGCGAACGGGUGAGUAACACGUGAGUAACCUGCCCUUGACUUUGGGAUAACUUCAGGAAACUGGGGCUAAUACCGGAUAGGAGCUCCUGCUGCAUGGUGGGGGUUGGAAAGUUUCGGCGGUUGGGGAUGGACUCGCGGCUUAUCAGCUUGUUGGUGGGGUAGUGGCUUACCAAGGCUUUGACGGGUAGCCGGCCUGAGAGGGUGACCGGCCACAUUGGGACUGAGAUACGGCCCAGACUCCUACGGGAGGCAGCGGUGGGGAAUAUUGCACAAUGGGCGGAAGCCUGAUGCAGCAACGCCGCGUGCGGGAUGACGGCCUUCGGGUUGUAAACCGCUUUCGCCUGUGACGAAGCGUGAGUGACAGUAAUGGGUAAAGAAGCACCGGCUAACUACGUG
rnacentral:rRNA from 1 species